CAGGAGGACAACUUGACGCUACGGCGGUUCUUGCGCACAAGAGGUCAUAACGUCGGCAAGGCGUCGGCGAUGCUUCUCAAGUACCUUGCCUGGAAGCGGGCCGUCAAACCGCGUGGCUUCAUCUCCGACGACGAGGUGCACAACCAGCUCGUGCAAGAGAAGGUCUACACGCAGGGCUUCGACAAGAUGGGUCGCCCCAUGGUGUACCUCUUUGCCGCCCGGCAUUUUCCUCGGCGUGACUUCGACGAGCUCAAGCGCCAGGCAUCCACAUCGAUUCACCAAUUAAAUGCAUGAACGCAUAGCUCUGCAGGGCAAGAGAAGUUUGCGGCGGUGGUGGACUUGAAGGGGUGGGGUUACGCGAACUGUGACAUCAAGGCAAGCGUGGCGGGGCUAGACAUCAUAAAGAACUACUACCCGGAGCAGUUGGGGCAGGUGUUCCUGGUCCACGUACCCUUCGUGUUCAUGGCGGCGUGGAAGCUUGGGUGCACAUUCGUCGAUGACAACACCAAGAAGAAGUUUGUGUUCAUCGAUGAUAGGGGCCUCAAUGGCACACUCCGAGACGUUGUCGACGAGUCCCAGCUCCCCGAUGUGUACGGAGGGAAGUUCAAGCUGCAAGGCUACAACCAUUCUUCACCACCUUCGUCUACAUGCAACUGA
rnacentral:rRNA from 1 species